UACGGAGGGGGCAAGCGUUGUUCGGAAUUACUGGGCGUAAAGGGCUCGUAGGCGGCCAACUAAGUCGGACGUGAAAUCCCUCAGCUUAACUGGGGAACUGCGUCCGAUACUGGAUGGCUUGGAUUUGGGAGAGGGAUGCGGAAUUCCAGGUGUAGCGGUGAAAUGCGUAGAUAUCUGGAGGAACACCGGUGGCGAAGGCGGCAUCCUGGACCAAUAUUGACGCUGAGGAGCGAAAGCCAGGGGAGCAAACGGG
rnacentral:rRNA from 1 species